rnacentral:rRNA from 1 species
AUUGAACGCUGGCGGCAGGCCUAACACAUGCAAGUCGAACGAGUGGCGGACGGGUGAGUAAUGUCUGGGAAACUGCCAGAUGGAGGGGGAUAACUACUGGAAACGGUAGCUAAUACCGCAUACCAUCGGAUGUGCCCAGAUGGGAUUAGCUAGUAGGUGGGGUAAAGGGUCACCUAGGCGAUGAUCACUAGCUGGUCUGAGAGGAUGAGCAGUCACGCUGGAACUGAGACACGGCCCAGACUCCGACGGGAGGCAGCAGUGGGGAAUAUUGAACAAGGGGCGCAAGCCUGAUCCAGCCAUGCCGCGUGUGUGAAGAAGGUCUUCGGAUUGUAAAGCACUUUCAGUUGGGAGGCGUUACCAACAGAAUAAGCACCGGCUAACUUCGUGCUAGCGGCCGCGGUAAUUC